ACCCGCUGAAUUUAAGCAUAUAAGUAAGCGGAGGAUAAGAAACUAAAAAGGAUUCCCUUAGUAAUGGCGAAUGAACAGGGAUGAGCUCAAUAUGGAAAUUGUGGCUUCUGGCUUUGAAUUGUAAUCUCAAGAUGCAUUGCUAACUGGGGCGUAGGUGAAAGCCUCUUGGAAAAGAGAAUCAUUGAGGGUGAGAAUCCUGUUUGUCAUCUACAGUCCUCCGUGUACGGCAUGCGUUCUAAGAGUCACGUUCCUCGGGAUUGGAGCGCAAACUGGGUGGUAAAUUUCAUCUUAAGCUAAAUAAGGGUUCGAGACCGAUAGCAAACAAGUACCAUGAGGGAAAGAUGAAAAGGACUUUGAAAAGAGAGUUAAAAGUGCCUGAACUUGCUGAAAGGAAAGCGGAUGGAACCAGUGUUGCUUGGCGAGAUUGUUGCGUGCGAAAGUGAUUGCUUGCUGCAUCAGCGCAAGCGGUGCUGUGGGUUUUGAUCUGGCUGUGCGCGAUGCUUCUUGCCUCGUGUGUCAUCGUCAGUGUGCUGGUGAGGACAACUCUUGGGACAUGGUAGCCUGCCCCUGGGCGUGCGAAUGUGCCUUGCAGAACUCACUGUCAUAUUGCUCCUCCACAUGUGAGGUCGUGCUGCCUUUCUUUGGCACCUGUGUUGGCGUUUGUGCCUGGCCUAGGUGUCGUUUGCUGAGCACCUUCCUGACAUAGCCAUGGUGACUAAAUGGUUCUAUUCGACCCGUCUUGAAACACGGACCAAGGAGUCUAACAUGUGUGCGAGUUCUUGGGCGGCGAAACCUACGUGCGCAAUGAAAGUGAUUACUGAGAUGCUAGCAUCAGCAGCCGACCGAUCAAUUGGGAGAGGUUUGAGCAUGAGCAUAUCUGUUAGGACCCGAAAGAUGGUGAACUAUGCUUGUGAAGGGUGAAGU
rnacentral:rRNA from 1 species